rnacentral:lncRNA from 1 species
UUGUAUUCAUGAUCUUACCUCUAUUUGUCACAAAUGCAUAGCAUAGGAUCGAGUGGAUCGGCACCCAAUAGGCCAGAUUUUCCUAUCUUUGAUGUUAGAAGUGAUUCCAAUCUAUUUUUCUAUAGUGAUAGUUCACACAUUAGCAAUUAGCACUGCCUCAAAGCAAACAUAGGAACUAGGGAGUUCAUCGAGAGAAAGUCCCUUUAGUUUCGUACUUCCCUGUUUCGGAUUUGCAUAUGUCUUUAAUCGCAAUAGUUGUAGAGAAAUCCCUCAAUCACGGGACAAUCCUCCAGGGCAAAGGUACUUCAAAAGCUUAGAAGGUUCAUCUAUGCAUGAAAGGAAUGAAACAAAUUCCAUAGAAAAAAUAGGAAAAUCCCCACCGAGAUCGGUACCUAUCUAGAUCCCCAGCUUCGACAACAAAACUCCUUCACAUUUUGCGACCAUUCCUGCGAGGACUACGAUUCGGAUUAUCUAAUGUCAUCCCCAAACAGAAUUACACCUCUUAAGAGGAAGGGACGGCCCUCUAUCCGGUGUGGGUUCCUACGAAUUAUUGUAUGGUUCCGGAUCCAGGUCCCUCUGCCCUUGCUUUUUGUUAUUCCAUAGGGGUAUGGAUUGAAGUAAUCACUAAUCCAGGAAAGAUGGAUCUUUAGCUAGAAAAACGAAAAGCCAAUAUGCCAUGUAUCAAAACAAUAGGGAUAGGGGUAGUUGUAUACCACCUACGAAUAGGAAGAUCCUGGGUUUUGUAAGAAAACUACGAAUAGGAAGAUCCUGGGUUUUGUAAGAAAUCCAAUUUCAUCAAUUCUAAGCACGGUAACGGCAGUGCUCCUAUCCAACGGCCGGGGAUCUAUUCGAUUUCUCAAUUUGCUAAUGCCGAUAAGCUUAGGUUGUUAUUUCAUCGUCUUGCGCUAAAAAGGCACCCUCCUAUUAUGCUAACAAAGGGACGGAUAACGGCAAAGCGGAACAGCAACAGCGAAAGCAAGUACAGUAAAGGUGCAAUCCCUAAAAAAAGAAUCAAAAUAGAGAAAUUUAGAGCGCUGCGAAUUUCCUUCUUUUGAUAAUGCUACCCACACAGUCAUGGCUCCUAUCCGGUCACCAGGUUAAACAAUUGAUUCCUCUCAACGCAUCCCCGCGGUAAAGAGCUAGUCGUAUUCUUUUGAUAACUCUCUAGUUGUAUUCAAGCAAGAGUCCUCGGCAUCCUACGAAAACAAGCGCUAGGAAUAUCAAUAGCGUUAGCGUUAGUGUCCUGGCCUUUGCUUGGGGAUUCCUCUAUGGAAUUCCAAACAUGCCUUUGCUCGUCCCUUUGAUUCAAUCCUUCUUCUCCUCGAAAGCUACAACUAGAAAAUAUAUUCUUUUUUGCCGGUGCGAACCCUUCUUUUGAAUAACAACCAUUGGCAAGACCAGCGAAAUCCGAAUACUAAUCCGAGGAAAGCCCAUCCCUACUUCCCUUUGUUGUUGUUCCUCGAAAUACUCUACUAGUCAUUGGUUUCAAAGCAAAGGUAUCUGGUAUAGGGGGUCGUGGGAAGGUUAGUGUUUCAUUUUGAUAGGUGAUAGUGGUAUACCAAACCAUAUGGUAUAGGUCUUGGAAAGGAAAGUAAAUCAAGUCCAUCUUACAGGAUUUCUUCACUUGCUUGGGCUUAAGCGGUACCAGUACCCGGAGAAUAGUUCCAUUCUCUUUCUCCACAUGACACCCUUGUGUUGUCAAACUAAUGAAUCCCUCUCCGCCCCUGCUCUGACAAAGCAAUAAGCACUAGGGUAUCCACCCACCCGCCAGUUCGAAUAGCCGGUUUCCUCCCCUUCCGCUCAAGCUAAAGCUUCUGGGCUACGGCUUCCGGUUCCGUAUUCCGAUUCGUCUUCGGAUAGCAUUAGAAAAUCCCUUUCAUGCCUUGCCAAUACAACUAUUAUUUUUCUUAGCCGAGGAGCCUUUGGAAGUACCGUUGUUGGAUCUGAUUGAGCCAUUAUAGGAUCGGAUAAAGAUUCACUCUUUGCCAAUGCCUGCUUCCUUGGUUUCCUACUUUCUGCAUCGAAAGUGACUUUUUGCUCAGUAUCGAGAACCACUUCUUCUCCUUUUCGAGGCGUAGAUCGCUCGUCAUCUGAUUUGCUUCGUCAAAGCGGAUAGCAUUAUGGAAUUGAUUAUAUUCGUAGAAAAAGCACCCCUAUUUAAUAAGUCCUCGGAAAUGAUCUCAUCCAGUACUUCUCUCAGCCUAUUUGCCAAGACUUUGGAGCAUAGCUUGUAAAUGACAUUGCACAAAGAUAUCGGCCUAUACUGCGAGAUUUCUUGGGGGUUCUACUGUCAGCAAGUGCACUAUUAUUUACUUCACCGCGUACUUAAAGAAUUGUUGGUAGCAAAGAACAGCACCUGAUAGAAAGGAUGCUAACCAAGCCUCUUCUGUUUAAGCAAGGCUAAGCCAAAAUAAGGGGUACAGUAGGCUGGUGACCCUGACGAUAGCACUAAGACUGCCUCGGGAAUCUCCUCAGUCAUUGAAGAGUGCCUCGGGAAUUGAAUAGAAGCACUGAUAUCCAUAUAAUCCUAAAAUUAUGCUCUAUUCUCUUGAAGAGAAGACACUUGAACUUCAUCAUGUGCUAUUGAUCCUUUUGAACCUAAAUUCACAUUGGCUCUUUUUGGCAUACAUCAUUUGUUUUUCUGUGAAAGUCCUCCUUCCUCUAGACAAAGAUUACAUUAGAGGUGCCUCGACCCGAAAGAGCAUGAUACAAUCAAUUAGGACGUAGCUCUGCUACGAGAAAGGAUAGGACUUUUGCCAAGUCUAGAGUUCGACUUCUAAAAAGAGAAAGCCACUAACAAAAAGAAAGAAAAGAGGAGGAAGCUGGACUUGCCUGUGUUCAAGAUACAAUGAAUCAAAUAAAUAAGUCUUAUGGAUGAAUGUUGAAGACGGACGAUACAACCCUACUAAAAGUCACAAAGCUCACUUCGCUAUCAGGCCAAGCAGCAGCUUCAUAAUAUAGGUGAGAUAGAUUAAUUGAUUGUUUCUUUUUUUUGUUAUAGAAUUCUAAAUCAAGCAUUAGUUUGAACGACAUAGAAAACUCUUUUCCAACUAAGCACUCUUGAGCAUCAAGCAAUUAUAUGGCUUGGAUUCGGUCUGUUCCAUCUUUUACCUUUGGAAAAAUAAAGGGAUUGGAGCCGAAAAUCCUUGUUGAAGAGGAUAUCGAGCACAAAAGUGAAGAGUGAAGAGUAGAGGGCGCAUUGGAUGUGCGCUCCCUAUGAACGAUGUCCCACUAGAAAUGGAUCUUCGGAAAGAAGAGUGUUUCUCUUGAUAUUUCUAUUCUAUUCUAUUUCUAUAAGUGAAUUAUUGAUCAAGAUCAAAUGGAGAAAAUGUAGAUGUGAAACUAUGUUCUUUGAACACCUUCUUCCAUGCUAUUGAAGCUGGCAAACAGGGGAGUGAGUGAAGAGAGAAGCCAUGCCUCUUUCGAUGUGAGGCAAGCGAUGAACGAGUAGAUGCUGCCCUUAGACCAAUUUUCUCUUCCGGUAGCUGACACCGAGAUGGGCUAGGCUAGGAAACCUUAUUCGAGACGAUAGGGAUGGUAAACAAAGCGAUGGGGUAUACGUACGAAUUGGAAUACAAAUGAAAUCAUUGCCUAUAAAGAUGAACCCGUUAGCGUAUAGGAACAACAGCAUAUGAAAGUUGGGUGGAUACUCCUAUUUAAUUGGUUUAACCAGAAACAGAGGAUAGGAUUCGAAAAGUCAACCGGAAACCGAGCCCUAACCUUUAAUUGAUGAGAAUUUCCAUACCCCUACUACUCGUAUGUAUUGGCGUGGGUUCGUAUGUAAACAUUCGUAUUGGCUUAGCAGAGCACUUCGUAUCCCGCCACAACCGAUCCUUUGCUUCCUUCUCACUCAGCUUUUUGACUCAACAGUCGUUCCCCCUGUUACACAAAGCUACGUAUACAGAGGUAGUUGUUCAUCCCUUUUGCUCGUGACAUAUCCCCUCGCUCUGUCUUCUAUUCCUUCUGCGCGUUACGUUACUAAGGCCAUCGGUCUUAUGGAAAGAGAAGGCAUAUAAUCGAUUCUUUGACCGGCUUUGCUUCUUUCGUGAUUCACGUAGAUUGGAAUUCACUUUCUUUAGGGCAUGGCUAGUUUCGGGUUUUCUAAAACCAUCGCCCAACUCUUUCUUAUUCAGACACGCCAACUGAUAUGUUGGAUUAACAAGCUAGGGAGUAAUUGGGGCUUAUGUGGACCCCUUCCCUUUAAUUUAAGAAAGAGGUCUUCCUAGCUGACUUGAAACUAGAUCUUCUUUCGAGUUUUGUUCUCUAUGGCUUGUGAAUUGCUGUACUGCCUGUUUCACUCUCUUCUAAGGGAUAUCCUCCUAUGGAGGUAUGUAAAGUGGGUUCUAUCGCAUUUUCCAUCUUAGGGCGAGCAAUAUAAGCAAUUCUGGUAUCAACAGGUACAUUGUUUGGGAAAGAAAGUGAAAACAAUAGAUCCAAUUCUGGGUUUUGGGGAUGGAUUUCUCACAACCCUAAGGUGCUUGCUAAUCUCUCGGACGAGUUGAUGUCAAUAGCAAUUCUGAUGAAACAUCUUAAACAUCUUUAGUGCCUUUUGCCUUUGAGCUCAAUCGAUCAGAAGAAAGGGAAUAUAACCUGCCCCUCAUUGUCCUUCAAUCAUGGUGCAAUGAAUAUCGUAGAUAGAGUGAUUUUGAUCUCAUAUAGCUAGCUUUCCUUUCAAAGUGAAACGAUUUUCCUUUUACGUUGAGAUAUUUGAAUUGGAUUUUCUUUCACCACUACUAUCAUAACGCACAGAAAACACUGACGUUUCCGCUCGCUUUCAACCACUUCCACUUUACCUGAGCACUGUGACGCAGUCGGUCAAGUAUUGAGUUUCUGCUAGUAUAUCAAGGACUUAUGAGAACUGAAAAGAAAAAAAAGGAAAAAAACAAUUCUCAUAGUUCAUUGAAUUAAGGGAGGGCCAUUCGUGGGGGGUUCGUGGAAGAGUUGGGUUUGAUUCCCUUUAUACGCGAUGUGGCGAAAAAGACUGAUUCAACGAAAUAUGCCAUGCCAGCAUUAAGAUUUAAAACAUGUCGUCUACUUCCAGGAAAUGUUCGGAACAGAGAACUUUCUCUAAUCCAACGCCGUAUUCUCCGAAGAUUGAGGAACAAGAGGAGAUCCAUUAAAAGAAAUCUUUCUUUGAGAGAAAAUCGAAACAGUAACAUCAAAUCACAAACUACACGAAAGUUGUCUCUUUAUUAUGGGGAUUUACCCAUAAGGGAGAUGCACAGAGGAAGAGAACGAACUUCAUAUAUCCCUUUUUUACUCAAUCAAGAAACAAGAUCGGACGUGAUUCCGGUUCGUCUCCAUUUUAGUGACACUCUUCCUCAAGCAAGGCAGCCGAUAAGUCAUCGAAGGGUUUGUUUGAAUAAUGGACUAGUAACCAUUACUCAUUUGAAAGUUUCCUACGGUGAUCUAAUAUCUUUUAAAGAAAAUGACGCGAGAACCCGCGGUUUUGAAAUAAGGAGAUCUUUCUAUAUCGACAUAUCAGUUGGAAAAAUCAUAGGCAAAUUCCUAUCGGCCAUAUCAGUUGCAAAAAGAAGAGGCAAAUUCCUACCGGCCAGAAUCUGGAGAAGAACAAAAAAAAGAAUGGUUCCGCUUACUCACAACUCAGAGGGGAUGCCGCUUACUACUCAAAUCCAAGGAAUUGCAAAAGUUGCGUUCUUAUAUGCAAGAAGAAGACUUUGAAAGAACAAAGAAGUUUGGAUCCGCAAAAGUAUGCUUAGGCAGUUCCUUCGCUGAGCACAACAGAAUGAAGAGGAAUUUGUUUCAUUUCAAAUACUUCUUCUUAUUGAAAAGAUGGAAGGAGAAAAACCGAAAUCUUCCUACUCGAACAAUAAGUCCUUUUGUAGAAAAGUCUUCUUUAUAUAGUAAUUCGACCUAUUGCUCCGGAUCCCCGUUUACUAGGAAGAUAAGAAUCAAAAGGAUCGAACUACCUACUCAUUAUUCGGAGGUGGAUCAUAGAACACUAAAAGUUGUGGUAUCUGAUGGACCUAACAUAUGUUACAUCCCUCACGACAUAAGAUUGAAAGAUCCAAACCUUCCUCUUCGGAGCGGAAACGGACGUGGCCAAAACAUAUAAAAAAAGAUCGGCCUAGUCGCUCAUAGGGACAUAUCUAUCCGGAUAGAGGAUAGUCUAGAUCAAUUUUGAGAAAAAUCUCUCUAUAUAUAGAUAGGUAUCUCUGUGGAUAGAGAUAAAGAUAGGGAUCCCUAUAAAUCGAAAUAUAUGGAAAAAGUGCACUUUUUGACUACUACUACUAUUUCUUAGACUUUUUCAAGGAAACAUCGUUUUUUCGAUUUUGACUGAAUUGGUCGGAGCGUAGACAAGCAAGCAGAGCCCAGGAAAGAGGUCAGAUCGUCAUAGAGCAGUCGACUAUAAGUAUAAGACUGCUGGCCUGAGAGAAGGCAGCCUCUCUCGGGAAACAUGGCCCAAUUUCUCUUCUUUCUUUUCACACGGGCAACAAUUGGGAAUAAAACAGACCAUGAACAUGAGUUUAAAAUGUAAAAAAAAGGGAAGAGUGCAUUCUCCACUUCCUUAUCCCGAAAAUGCGUAAUAUAGUGAUGUCAUGUGUCUGUUUCUCUGAAAAGGUGGGUCGGCCCUUAGGGCAAACAGUAGUGCCAGGUUCCAUUGUGGAACGGUCGUUUGCCGGUGACCUUUGUCCGCUGUAGUACGAGUAACUGGCGCAUCACAUCCAAUCUCUCAUGUCAAUGAGUCAGUUAGAAAACAGCUCCAAAUGAAUAAGUGAUUUCCCCUUUAUUUCCCUCGGAGCGCAAGGGGAAACAAGAUUGAGAAUGAAUUAAAACACACCAAAUGUUUCAUUUUGCCUAUUAUCAGUGGUCAGUUUUGAUACAAACCAGGGGAAAAAGAACCUGGAACGCCUUCUUUAAGGCGCUACUAUUUAUAGCGGCAUAGGUGCUUUAUCACAAUACGAAAGAUGUACAUACGAGGACUACGAUUCCUAUUUAGAGAUAUUCCUACGAGCGAUAGACGUAGUAAGGAAAUUACGUACGCCAAUAACAAAUAUGAAUACGAAUUACGCCUACGAGCCUACGCAAUGGCAUGUUUCGGCGUAUAAAGCUAAGAACGAGAAUAGCCUACUGCCUCCACUCGGAAAAGGCAAAGGUAUCCAGUAUAGGAUAUCGAUGAACGGAGGACAAGGGAAGAAGGCAAGGUGAACCUCCUUUGCCAAAGCCCUUUUGAAAUACCUUCUUUUUGAACCUUUAGAAAAUACCUGCUAGCUAUCCCUAGUUUUGUUUAACCAGCUUUCCCCCAAAAAGGGGAGAUUUGCUGCUUACUACUCACGGAAACAUCCAACCUUAUGGUCAAGUCGUCCGCCUAUCUUUCUGAUCUCAUUCAUUUUCCGAUCGCAUAAAAAGUCAUGAGAUUAAAAAAGAAAUGUGAGUAUGUAGUUACAGAUGUAAAAAAAAUAAAUAUCUCGUUCUCUUGUUCUUAAAUCAUGAAUUGGAUGAUGUGCGUUUCAUCAAGUAUGAACAUAUUGCAUUUUUUGCUAUGCAAUUUCAGUACCGGAUCGACGUCCAUUUAUUUCUAUGUCCUCAUCCUCGUGUAUGUCUGUGUUAGAUAGGCUCUGGAAGGCCUUACUUUACUAACAGGUAGGGCGCGUUACUUUUAUUAUUUUUUUGCUGCUUACCCGCAUGUUUAGAUUAUUUACUUGCCCUUUCACUUUUUCUUCGGCUGUCACCAACUGUGUUCAAUGCUAGUCCCUAACCCAUGAAUAAGGGCUCCGCUGGCUACCGGGUUCAGAGAAGUUUGUAAGCUCCUUCUCUUUUUUCAUUUUUCGCAUCCUCCUGUGUCUUUCCGUUUAAGGUCUUUAAUUCGGCAUUAGCUUCGUUAGAGAAAGCCAUGCGUGAACUACAAAGCAUGGGAUCCUGAACACCACGAAAGAAAGCGUACUACUUUUCAAUAAGGUCCGACUUCAGAGAGGAGAGACAUGAACUUGUUUUAGGCAUAUAAAAGGCAUACGGUAUGAAAGAUUGAUUGAAAAGAGGUGGGGACUGGUCUCGCUGCUAAGGGAGAAGGAGACCUCUGUCGGAGCAAGCUAAAGAGCCCACUUUAUAUCGUCGAUUUUAGGUAAGGCACUCGAUCAAGCCUAUACAUCCGGGAAUUUCGCUCCAAACCAAAGACGACUUGCUUUGCUGCAUUUCUUGGGCUGGGGCUUUACUUGAUUUUGGUGAAAGAAAGGCCAUAUGAUCUACUUUCUGGUGCCGGUCCCUUCACAAAGAUAGCCCCUUCUUGCUCUUAUUCUGUAACAUCCCAAAUUUUCAAUUUGGAAUUUUAUACAUAGAUCAUCAUUGCAUAUCAUAUUUUGUUCCAUCUUAGGCUCGAUCCUAGAAAUUCUAUGCAACUCAAGGACCCUCGGAGAGAGUUGGGGAUUUCGUUAUUUUCUUAUUUGAGUUUUUCUCAAAUUUUGAAAAUAGGAUCAUUGAUUUUAUUUAUUUUAUCUUCAAUUAUUUCUACUACCAAAUAUUCAGAGAGGGAAUAAAAUGACUUUCCCAAAAUAAAGAAAUAAUGAAGAUUUAAUAAAAAAAUCAAAUAAGUUUUAUUUUGGAAGUUUUUCGCCUUUUAUUUGAAUUUAGGAAAAAUGUGUGUUUUUCAAAAUUGCACUUAGGCCCCAAAUAAAUGUUCAUCUUGUCCGGCUUGAUUUUAGAAGCCGGGGAAAAUUUAUUUCGGGAUUUUUGGAGUCUGUUUAGUAUUUCUUUUUAUUUUUCUUCUGUGCGGAAUUAUUUAAAAAAAACGCAACCGACCUACGGGUCGUGCCCGAGCGGGACUCUGCCCGGGGGCGCCUUUAAAUAGCGCCGCCCCGAGCCCCCCAGGCCCAGCCGCCCGCCCCGCCAGCCCGCAGCCGCCGCCAGCCCACUUCGNNNNNNNNNNNNNNNNNNNNNNNNNNNNNNNNNNNNNNNNNNNNNNNNNNNNNNNNNNNNNNNNNNNNNNNNNNNNNNNNNNNNNNNNNNNNNNNNNNNNNNNNNNNNNNNNNNNNNNNNNNNNNNNNNNNNNNNNNNNNNNNNNNNNNNNNNNNNNNNNNNNNNNNNNNNNNNNNNNNNNNNNNNNNNNNNNNNNNNNNNNNNNNNNNNNNNNNNNNNNNNNNNNNNNNNNNNNNNNNNNNNNNNNNNNNNNNNNNNNNNNNNNNNNNNNNNNNNNNNNNNNNNNNNNNNNNNNNNNNNNNNNNNNNNNNNNNNNNNNNNNNNNNNNNNNNNNNNNNNNNNNNNNNNNNNNNNNNNNNNNNNNNNNNNNNNNNNNNNNNNNNNNNNNNNNNNNNNNNNNNNNNNNNNNNNNNNNNNNNNNNNNNNNNNNNNNNNNNNNNNNNNNNNNNNNNNNNNNNNNNNNNNNNNNNNNNNNNNNNNNNNNNNNNNNNNNNNNNNNNNNNNNNNNNNNNNNNNNNNNNNNNNNNNNNNNNNNNNNNNNNNNNNNNNNNNNNNNNNNNNNNNNNNNNNNNNNNNNNNNNNNNNNNNNNNNNNNNNCCGGUUUUUUUAUAUAUAAAAAAACCGAACGGGUUUUUCUUCAUUUUUUUUUCUUUUUUUCGGUUUAUUUUUUUUAGAUCUGUUUUAUUUUUCGGUUCGGUUAAAUAGCGAGCGUUCGCUCGUUCGUUCAUUUUAACGAACAUAUUCGUCAGAUCUGUUUAGUCAACGAACGUUCGUUCGUCAGCCUGUUCGUCGUUUUUCUUUUUCUCGGAUUUAAUCCGCGAUUUUUCUGAUCGCGAUUCCAGAUCCGAUUUUCGUUUUAGUAUAACUUUUCGCUCGUUUAUCGGAAUCAGGCGAUUCAAGCGCCUGGAGUUUCGUCUCGAAACCUUCUUUCCAAAUAAUCAACUUAAACAAGUUUUUGCUUCUGUAAAAUUUGACUUAGAUCCAGAUUAGUAAAACAAAGUUGUUUUCUUUCGCCGUUUGACUUUCGUUGCUUUGUUUGAUUCGGUUCUUUUUGCAAACCGGAGUUCUUAAGUUGAACAAUCUGGUUGGAUCUUUUAUUCGAGUUUUACCAGUGCAUUAGAUGAGUACUUAUUGUAUGUUUGUUUGUUUGUUUGUCUGUGAUAGAAUACCCAGAGUGCGCCGCCUGUUACUUCGAGUCUCUAGGUUUUGCGGAUCAUCAACAAGGCAAGUAACACUUUGAUCAUACCUUUUCUCAUACCCAGUUUUUAUGCAUUAGACCAAUCCUCAAACAAUUGCAUGAUUAGGAUCUAAUUAAAUUGUGGGAUGGGAAGUAGAUGAGGUAGUACCUAUUACCUGUUUUAUUUUCAAACCCCUGGGAGUUACUUCUACGUUUGCUUUUUAUGCCAUGCUAUGCUAGUAGAAGUGGAUUGGGUGAGUGUAUCCAUGACAGAUGUGAGAUUGUUAAUCAAUGGUUUAUUUAAGGUGGCAACUUAAACACACAUCUGAGUGGAUUGAGGCACCUGGUUUCUAUCAGGACUUGCCUGUAUUUCUUCGGACCACCACCCAGGCUCAAAGGGAUCAUGAGAUUAUUCAAACUAGAAACAUCCGUGUGCAGCCACAAGCCAUUAUGGGCUCUGGCAUAGUUGACUAAGUCGUGGAACUCUUACGGGUAGACUAGCAGAUGUAGGGGAAAGUAGGUGUACCGGUCUACCCACAUGUAAGGUGCUAGUGCUUCCGAAAGACUAUGUCUCGGUCAUCCGUUUCUCAAACACCAUGUAGUGCGAGGAAUCAAAUGGAGGCGAUUGAGUCUUGUGGGGAAAAGUGCGCAAACCUGUGCAGAGUGUACAAACUAAUCAUGGUUAGUCGUGUCCCCGGUUAUGGACGUUUUGAGUAUCUAGUACCUGGAUAUCAUGUGAAUCUCAUCAUGUGGUUCUAUACUCAGUGAUGCCGUUGGAGUUGAUGGACUCGCUUAUCUUCCAAUCCUUCCGCUGUUAUCGUUUUUAGAUGGCCUUAAGCCGUAUUUAUUUCAAUAAGUUCUCUUUUGAGACAUUCGAUGUAAUAAGUGUGUGGUUGCUACUCUGUUAUAAAUCCUCCAAGUACUGUGUGGUGUCAGCAUUACUGAUCCAGGGAUAAUACUAAGCACAGAGAUCAGACUGGUUGAGGUCUGGUCGCUACAUAUUCUUAUUCUUAUUCUUAUUCGGUGGAAUACAAGAGUUCUGAAGCUCCUUUAUUUCAAGUGAAAGUUGCCUAUCUUUCUUGGUUCAGAAUCCAAUCCAGUUGAAAACAAACAAUUGCCCGAUGGCAAAGUCAGAUGAAAGGCUAGGAGUGUAAACCACGUACGAGCGUGGCGCAGAAAGCGAAAUGUUUUGCAGCGAGUCAAGCGUAAUAUGAUCAAAAGGAAAUGGGGUCGAUGCAUAAACGUUGGAGUGUGAAGGCAUAAACGUUAAUAGAGUCAAAAGGAAUUAUGUCAAAGCCUCAGAGAAACCCAGGCCCUCUCUGUUGCUUGUUCGUUACGAACAAAAGAAGCUGAUACCAGUUCUGGUGUUUAUCCAGCGGAGGCUCAUAUCUCUUCCAUGUGAGACCAGCGACCUCAGAUCAUCCCGGACUUAUGUGCUGGAAUAGCUUCGUUAUGAGUUGAAGCAGCCUCAGCUACUAUUCCUACUAAGGAGGAGUCGCCUUUUUCAAUUCCCUCCCUUUUGCAAUCCCAUGUUGAUGUAAGGAAGCUGCUUUAGAGUAUUGGCAAAAAAACAUUACAUGCAGGUCCAGAUCUCCUUGCGUUCGUUGGUGGUUGACUACCGGGAAAGGGCAGAAUAGCAACAGUGAGGAAGCAUACCACCCAAAGCAAGACGUGAAAACCUUCUUCGUAUCCAAAAGCCCCUUUUAGUCUGUCUGGCCUUAGUAUUUAUGAUACAUAAUCGCAUCUUCUCCCCCUUUCUCGUAUCUCCACGGAAGUAAGUACUGGUACGAUCGGAACUAGUAUUUAGAUAUAUGUGACCCUCUAGCGGUUUGACCCGUUGAUGGUAUACGGAACUUCCUUCCUGUGAAAGGUCGAGUUCGUAAAUCAAGCUUGUAGAAAAAGCAGUACCGGUAUUUGAUGGUGAUGGUGAGGAUGACUAACCUCGCUCUUGCAACCAUGAAUAUUUUCUAGAUACUACGGGCAUAUACCUUCUUCCGAAGGGUCCCCGUCCUAUCUUUUUCGCCUUCCACUCUGGAAUCGACUAUUGGUGGGUUGUAACGUGAACCUAUGGAUCUCAAUGAACAGCUUCGAUACCACAAAAGGAUGGGCAAGAAAGACAGCAGGUGUUGAGCCAAAGCCCUAGUUCAUACACAAUCAUAAUGUUGGUCAACCAUCCGAACCGGGAUUCCUGUUAUUCAUACGAAGGAACAAGAAAAGAAGAAGUAUGGGAUAAAUUGUUUUUGAGUUGGGCAUAAUGAAAGCGGGUACAAUGGCAUUACUUAGAAGCUAUUAUGUCCUGUCUUGGCUUUAGCAAUAAGCUUGUGCGACUGAUGACUCCCUCCAUCCGUGGCAUCUCCAAGACUAAUGGGUAAGGUUUUGUCGCAUCUUAAUCGAACCGCAUACGGAGCUCAGCUCCUAAGAAAAUAAUAAGAAAUAUCUAGUUUUGUUUCAUAAGUGGCGAGCCAAGGAAUAAGAAUACCGCCCCCUGAUCUGUAUUUCAAAAGUGGAUUCAGCGCUGCAAGAAAUAGAAUUAUGCAUAGAUUGACUUGUAAAGAAAGACGAACCGAACAGUGCUAAGCAAAACUCUCUUAUUUCUAUGCUCGAUUCAAUCUCUACUCAUCUGCUUUUAGUUCUACUUUCUGUAUACGAAGUCCGAGCUUUUCGAGCUGCUCAGUUCUCGCUAUGUCAUUUCUUGGUUUUUAGUGCAUUCACUCAAUUCUCUGUGAAGUCCAUGGACAUGUUGUGGUUCAUUGCAGAGAACAGCCAUCACAUGGAUCAAGCUAUAAGGAAUCACCCGCGAGCGAGGGCAAGUCUCAAUUACGGUAGGAAUGGAAUACACCAAUCAUAACUCUGGUCUGGUCCCUAGUUCCCUAAGUAGUUAGUGAAACUUCCAGCUGGACUGACUGGAUUUAGAGCUUAAUGCUCCUAUCUUUGAACUAGAAUCUUAGCGCUUAUUUCAUGAAGAUAGCUACUUUAAUUGAUACAAGAAUGCCUACUUUGGACCAAUAGGAUCUACUCCUACUUGAAUGCCAAUCCAAUCUCUUUCCCAAUAAGAAUUCCUAAUCCCUAAAUCCAAGCAAGGCAUGAUUGUUAGUCAGGAUAACUAGCUUACGUACCGCAUUAAGAAGUACCGACUAUGCUUUUUUCCAUACUUUUCUUGCAGUACUUCAGUAAAGCUACCCCAUUUUAAUAAGAUAGGGAUUCGAGAUAUCAGCAUUUUCACAGGUCCUUGUCAAGCUGCAGCAGAAUUAGAUUCGAGUAUAGCAUCACUCAGUUGGAGUUCAGAAAUAAUCUGGAUCCCCUUUGCUAUUUUAGCAAUCUUUGCUGCUCAGUUUCAUCCCUUUCUAAGGUAGAAAACCCAUCCAUAUAUGUACGAGUGAGAGAUGUCUUCCGUCUCUAGGUAGAGGAGGUAGAAAAUAAUAGAUACCGUCUAUUCUAUUAACUAGUCAUCAAAAAGCAACCUAUAUCGAGGUCAAGUUUGAUAGGGUGAAGUGGACUAUUAGAUCCCCGGCUUACCAUUAGAAAUAAAGCUUAGCCGCCAACGUCAAUGUGUUAAGCACAUAGGAUAUAUUCGGCGAAAGUUAGUAAGAAGUAGAGUGAAUUCUGAAACUCCAGCAUUUAGGCCCAGAUAGAAUGGGUCCUCAAGCUUAGAAUCAUUUGGCCUAACCUUUAAGAAAAGUCAACAUCUUUUCAUCCGGGUCGUACUAAAGGCAGGUAGACCGAACACACGGCACCUGUCCCAAUGAUUGGUACACUGACGGUGGCUUAUUGGUUCCUUCCUCCCUUCCAUCCUCAAGUCUUACUUUCCUUGAUGCCUUAGUUUACUUGAUGCCCAAUUCAUUCCUCCCUAUAUUCAAUCUCUCGUGCCAUAUUCUUUUUUAGGUUUGACAUUACUUCCCUUUCCUAUCUUUUUACUUUUCUCAAGGACGUAAGAUUCUUCAAAAUGCCUUUCGCAGAUCCCUUUGAUUCCAGGUUCAGAUCCAUCUAUCUCUUCUCUCCCUUUCUUGGAACCUUACUUCACAAAGUAGGAUAUGCCCCCGGGGAUACUCAUCAUUAUUAUGAAUAGGUUACUCUAUCCAAUUCCCCGGAAUCAUUCACUAUCAUAGUCAGUCUCACCUUUGCUUAGUUGAGGGAUACUAACAUCACCAUCUGCACUGAGGAAUAUCUGAGAUUUCUCAGAGUUCAUGUGCAUGCCCCCGCCACCACGUUCGAUCACGGAAAUAAAUCCACUUAGAUUUACGUGCCUUAAGAUGUCUAGAAUUUGUGGACGGUCAAGAUGAUAUGGGUCAUACCGUGUUGAAGCUAGAAGGACAUUGGUGUCCCAUCUUGUAUAAAGAACACCUUCAUACCGGCCUAGGACCUCCCUAUUGAAUUGAUGCUGCAAAAAGAGAUGUAAGAGCACGUCACUCAAUUCACCUAUUAAUGGUAUACAAUUGUCAUGAUGAAUUUGGAGGUUAGUGUUGGCAUUAUAUAUCGGGAGAGAUAGAAAUUCCUUUAAGAUGUGGGAAAUCACUCCCAGAUUGUGUAGACACUUUAAUGUAUUCCAUAGAUGUUCCGUAGAAACAUAGCGGAUACUGUGACUCAAAUCCACGCAGACUAUUUUCUCUACUCCACUUUGACCAUCCCAGAACCUCUCGUGGUAAUCCAACAUUUCAUUAUAAUAAUUGAGUCUAGACGGGAGAUUGUUUCUUAUCACUAGAAACUCCCGCAUUAAGAUAUUAGCUAAUGCUUUAAAAAGUAGCGCAUCUGCUGAAAGGGAUGGGGCAGCCAUACAAGGCCAAUCACCAGCAUUGAUGAGUGGGCGCCUGGCACUUAAAUACCCAACCUCAUCUUGCCUUUCCAAAGUGAAACGUUCCUGCAAAGUCAUACCUUUCUUAUAGGCUUUGUAUACCAAUUUGGGAUGAAAUGCAGAAUAACCUUCAUGUAUAAGUAACACCAUGGUAUCGAUUUCUUCGGCUAAGACGCCCCGAUCCCUCCACAUAUCGUUCAAGUAACAUUAUAGGUGUGGAUUGCAAACUAUAUCUGGCCUAUCGGGCCUAUCUACUGGUGGUACUAGUUCCGCGGGAGGGGCAGGAUUUCGGUGCCGUCGGCAUGGGUCCGGCUAUCGAUCACAAGGGUCUAGAUAUGGGUCUCGAACGGAAAAGUAUGCUACAUAUUGCUCUGCUCCAGUUCCCUCUUCUUACACCUGGUCAAUUCGUUGAUCGCCCCUUUUAUUUCUGAUUUUCAAAAGGGCCCCGCUCUCGUCUCUACUGACGAAGCCUUUAUCUCUGUCUCUGUUAUCCUCGUACCUGCUGAUCUCUUCGACUGAUAGAGUCUAUGCUAUUGGUGAAGCUGGUUCUACCUCAACAACAGGAUCUGCAAAUGGAUUUUCAACUAACAGCCUAUGCUUCAAUUUGUGAUGAAAGGUCGACUAGUUUUCAUCGAAUCUUCAAUUAUGCACUGGUAACUUUUUUCCAUUUCUGAGGUCCAGAGGGGAAGACGAAGUACAGCCUAGUUCAGAGAGUCACGAUUGAAUCAAGGUUAAUUCAGCAGCAGCUAGAGCAAUACUCCGAUAUUGAUUUGAUUCUCCGCUACCCACCAAGGUAGAAGACUGCUUGAUCCGCAAAAGAAGUAUGCUUUAUUUGCUUAUAGAACAAAAGUAUACGCUUUUUCAGGGAAAGAUAGAUGGAAUAGGGCAUUCAGCAGUUUGAAGAGGUAGCCUUUUUCAGUAGCAGUCUUGUAAGCAAGCGUCGUACGUUCAAUCUAUACUGGCGAGAGUCUUUCCUCUUAUAAAGCCUGAGCGCGUUGCAUGACUUAAUGCCAGCUCUUUAUCAUACAUCUUCUGUAGAACCAAUAAAUAUAAGGGAUAUGUGUUAGCACAUCUUGUUCAUGCUCUGCACCACGUUUUUCCUGUAUACCGGCAGCUAGCAUCCCAUCAGUAACCUACGGGCGAGAUUUCUUGAGGGGGGCUGGCCAUGGUUUUUUAACCCACCCUUUCAUUCACUUAAGACCCAAAGCAGAAAAGGUUUGCAAUCCAUAUACAGGAAUUUGGUUCCACCAAAGUACAAGGACUAAACUGGUCGACUCCACCGCAAGGUGCGAGAUGUUGAGCUUCCUCGACGCCUACUCUGGGUAUCAGCAAGUCUAUAUGGCUGAGGAAGACAAAGAAGAAACGAGUUUGAUCGCCCCUUCCUUCUGCUACAAGCGAAUGCCCUUCGAUUUGAUAAAUGUCGGCGCCACAUUUAAGCGCCUAAUGAGCCUCAUCCUCAGGUCUCAGUUGGGUCGUAAUACAGAAGUGUACGUUGACGACGCCGUCAUCAAAAGCCGCUUGGCAGGGACUCACCCCAAAAACACCUCUUUUUUUGCAUCUGCUGAGCAGAACCAAUUACCAGAUCCUACUUCUAAGCUCUAUGCUCUACUUCGGCCUUGCUCUCACUUAUGGGUAGGAAGGACAAUAAGCAGGAAUUCAUGUUGGCUAACUAUUCUAUCCAGGCGGAAGUUGUUUUCAUAGGAAAGAUGGAAGGUUUUGCGUGUUGGUUGUAUCGAAUUUCCCUUUCUAAUAGCAUAUACAAAUAGAUAAGAAAGUUACGACGAUGAUAAGGUAAAUGAAAACCUUUGAUUUACCUUACCAUCAGUUCUGUCUUAUCUCUGUGCCUCCUCUAGCCAUUCAUAAUUGGAUAUCGUCAUUCAAAUCUGUUAUGACAACUGUUUGGUAAGCAGGGAUUCGAAUCAAACAAUAAAUACCAACUCUAAGUGUGAUGGAUAGUACCUGGUGCCUAAUUUCAUGGUAUCUUUCUUGGCGCCUACCACAGGAAAACCCCUCCUUCUUUUGGGAGGAAAUCAAAUGAGUAAAGGUUUCUGCCGACUCCCCUCAAGGAAACACUCACUACUCAACUUGAAACCACGGACCUACCUCCUGCUUUUUACUUUCUUCUUUGUCCCAAUUCAUAUCGAGCAUGUCUUUCUCCAUCUAUAGAUAGAGAGAAUAUAGGAUAGGGGCACUCAAAGCAAAUAGGAUUCUGUAUCUAAUACUAAUAGGUACUAACCGCAUUCAAGAUUGACUUGACCUCUUAUUUUGGAUAGGCAGAAAUGCUUACGCCCUAGGGGUUUAAAGGGCCCACUCCCUUUGGUUGACUCAUCAGGCUCACCACCUUUUGGAGCUCAUCCAACAGUCAGUCUACUUAAUCAUAAUCAUAAUCAUAAUCAAUCUGUUGCUAUUGCUAUCUAUCGCCAUACCCACAAGAGGGUAAUUUAUCCAACUCCCCGUGCGAAAGCAAGUCCCGCAUCAGCAGUGAUUCGAGUUGUUCCUUGAGAGCAGGCUUAUGGCAUUCCAGGUAAACAUAACAAUAUGAGAGAGAACUCCGUUCGGCUUAUAAGUACUCGAUUGAACCAAUUGUUUUUUCAUUUCCCAGUAGGUCACCUUGGGCCAGCUGCUGACUUUCUAGAAAGAGACAAGGAAGUCGAUUCAACAUAAGGGAAGAAAGCAUAUUUUAGGUUUACUCCUUCCAUGUCUAGUAGGAGUGCGUGCUUCUUAUUGCCUUUUGAGCAGUAGUUGUAUACAUUCCUCACUCAGUCUAAUUAAUUAUCUUUCUCCCUACCCAAAUACCAAGGGAAGUUUAUGAGUCGUAUCCUCCUUACGAGAUAGCGGAAGUAGCAUUAGCGGGAAAAGUAAGUUCCUUUUCAAGCCUUCUCUUUCGUAACCUUUGAUUAGUUCCUUAGAUGCCCUUAGCAAGAAUGAUGCAGGAGCAAGAAAGUCUAUUUCCUCUACCUUUCCAGAAUCUAGCUAUUCAAAUAGCACAGUAUAAAAUGCAAUCCAUAAGUCAUGUUGGUCAAUCAAUGACAAUGAUAAGCUCUAUAAAAAAAAGAGUCUAUUGCUCUUCGACACAUUUUAUAUCUACUUCAGUCAUGCUUUAUUGGAGUUAUCUGACGCCAAGGAGGAAGGAAUAGAGAUUAGGAUCCUAGCCUUGUUCCGUUUGAAGUUCCUAAGAGAGGUUACAAAAGAAAGGGAUGCUCAAACCAAGGAUUCGGAGUCUUAUUAGUGCAUCAAUCUACAGAAAGGUAGGGGGCAUAACUGUGUGAAAAUGGAGUGUAAAGCAUAUUCUAGAUAUUUCACUUCGAAUUUCUUCCUCUUAAAAGAGUCAAGUCCGCAGGGUUCCCUAAAUUCCCCAGGAAUCAAGUGGGGCCAGGAGAUCAUUGUUCAUUCGGUGGUUGGCCCUCCCCCUAAUAAGUACCUACCAAGAAUUGGGCCAGUUAGUUCAAGCGGUACUGAAUCACAAAGAACAGUUGAGUUUUCUAAUUCAUCUAUUAUUCUAUUUUUUGCAUCUCUAGAAUAGCGUUGGAGCCGGGACACACAUUUCUGCCCGAGUUCCAACAGCAAACCAAAUACGUUAUCGUGGAAAACAAGUUUCGCCAACACAUAAGAGUUUGUGUGCUUUUUAUUUUCACAUGAGUUUCACAUAUGUGAUGGUUGGUUGGGAGGGUACGGCAAAUGACUCUAGAAUCUUUCUGGAUACAACCACUGAACUGGAUCGUCACCGAGAAAAUACUAUCUUGUGGACUCAGGCUCUACGUUUAAGCCUUAAGGUCUUUCUCCUUACCGUGGGGAGCGGUACCACUUGCGUGAUUCUAGAGAAGAAGGCGGUGUCCCGACCACAAGGCGGUUAAAUUCCACUGGUGCUUGCUAGCCAGUCAAGAACGACUCGAAGACCGAGGGAAGGUCUUCACGCUACGCCGAAGACGACGAUGGCUCCAUACCGGGUGGUAAUACACAGGUAUAGGAUUUCCUGUAAUGAUGUGAAACUGUAUAUUUUAGAGAAAUAGCUCAGUUCGAGAGGAAGGCGGAAACAGUUUCGGUUUUAUUAACCUGAUUCCUAUUCAUUUACCGAUAAAGGAAGGAAUUCUUAUCUAUUUCUCGAGGCAAUUAGACUCAUAUCGACAAUAUGAACUGCAUGAGAAUUAGCAUAUAGAAAGAAAGCUUUACUGAAUACAGGUCUAGUAGGUAUAGAGCCGUAAGCGUGGUGGGGGUGUCGGUGCUUAGGCAGAUGCCCCAUUGUUCAUGAUGUUGCAAUGAAUCCAGUGGAUCAUCCUCAUGGAGGAGGUGAGGGGCGCACGAAAGGAGGUAGACCUUCGGUGUCACCUUGGGGAAAGCUCACCAAAGCAGGAUUUCGGGCAGUAGUAGGGGUGGUGAAACUUUAGAUGUCAAAUGCCACCAAUUUUUCUGCUCAAGUUAGAACGUAGUUUUUCGAAGUGAAUUGGCCAGUUCCUUUUAAAAGGAGACUGGUUUCUUUUUACAAGCGAUUGGCUUCACUUUAGAUUUUUUAUCGUAAUUUCUCUUUGAUUUAUGGGUUGUUAUUUAUUAUUUCGAUUUUUGAUAAACGAAACGAAUCCAAGACCGACAAGUAGAAUUCCAUUCGGUACCUUUGGGGUUUUUCUUUUUCCUUCUGGAUGACGACGUCACCGCGUCUCCUUAUUGUUAUUGCGAUGGUGAUGAGGAACAAAGGGCCGGGGAGAUCAUCGAAAUUACCUCUAGCCCGGAGCCAGAGGGGGUCGUCGACACAACGCCAACCCUGGUGGUGGGGCACUUCGAAGGUCUGGAGACCCUCCUUGAGAUUCUUCCUUUACCGGAAACACCACCCGCAGGUCCUUCCUUAGCUCCAGGAGAAAGGGAGCAAGCCCCCUCUGUUGGCCUAAACCUUGAUCCAUCCCAGAGUAGCCGCCGGCUGGACGGCGGCAAAUGGGGGGCAAACUCCUCAAAACGAAGUUCUACUUUGUCUUUGGAAGAAUUGGAAGAAUAGGACUCUAAGUUUAAAGUAGGAGUAGAGUCUUUAGAGGCUCGCUUAGAAGGAAUAAAGAGAAAAAAGCAACUGCAAGCGUUCGGGGCUUCUCCUUUUGAGACCGCGAAAGCAGAGCUGGUUACGUCCAUUGGGGAAAAUUCCCAGUUUCGUGUGGGACUGCUUUUGUCUCUGGAUGUCAAAUGCCCCUUGACGGGCAAACGGGAGGCUCUCGAAAAGACGAUAGAGGCCAUCUUGAAAUGCCAAGGGAAGCCCACAGACUCCCUAGCAUCUCUACUCGACCUAAAAUGCGAUCUCGAGGACCCCGAAAAACUCGAGACCGCUCUCCGUCCAUAUUUAGGACGGUUAGGGCGAUUUUUUAAGAAAUAAAAACCUUCUGUCGAUUUAUCCACACUUCCAUGACUUCUAGAGGAAAGCUAACUGCUUGCUGGCUGGGAGCUGUAUGAGCGGUAACGUCCACGUACGGCUCCGUGAGAAGGUGGACGGAAAUGGCCUUGUUGUACCUCACUCCCGUCUUCAAUGGGGUCUGCUCUUUUUUUAGGAGAGUAUGCCAAUAUGAUCUUAAUGAGGUGCGGGGCUUUGCAUCUGACAUUCGUUGGGCUUUCCUCUGCGGGAGCCCGCGUCCCGGCCUUUUUGUGCAAUAAACCCCUCCGGCCGAAGACUAGUGAUAGGUGGUCCCGCGGAGCUUUCGGAGAAGGGUAGCCUAGUGUGUAAGCACAGCAAUGAACCACGGCAGACCCUCAGACGACCCUUCUAAGAUAAGGGGGGAGAUCCUCAGUAGUGGUGACCCUUUGACUCUUCCACUGACUUAUAUAUGUACCGAAUGCUCAUACGGGAAAGUGAACUCCUGGGUCUGAAACCUGGGGGGGUUGCUCCGAUAAAAAAUCCUUUCUUUCUCGUCCACUCUAGGGGGUGCGGACACACCUGCGUGGAUUACAGGUGACGGUUACAAGAAUGGCGGGGAAGUGAAGAGUAACCGACGACAUUCAAGGAUGAAUGUAGACCCAUCGGGCGGGGAUAAUCAUUCCGGUCCUAGGAGAGGUGGCGACACCAGUCUGAGCUCAGGGAAGCCAGCUAAUUGAGUCACUAAAAUGACCGCAGGAGGCGCACCCUAAGCCCAGCUUCUCAGAGCUGCUAUUGUGAAAUAUGGCUUCCUUAAUAUCCAAAUUUCAACAAGGGGCUGGGCUGCUCGCCUUCAUAGAAAGGCGACCGGGCCUAGAUUAGAUGUUCGCCUUUUUAUAGAAUAGAAAGAGAAGGUAAAGGGGGGGUUGGAGAUUCUUUCAAGAAUGCAUGGCUUCCUCCUAUUCCGCUUCAACAGAAGCCCUUAAAAUCCUACUGCUAUGGCAGCAAGGGUUAUCCAUUUCAUAGGCGAGGGUGGGGGAGAAGCAAGACGAACCUCUGAUCGACCCGGACACGUCAAAAAUUCUCGGCGCCGAGAGAAAGAUGAGAUUCAGUAAGUAAUUCAGUGAGUGCUUUCUUUUAUAAGAAGAGCGUCGGCUUGGAAAAAGAAAAUGAAAUACGAACAACCGCGCUGGUUGUAAUAGAUCGACUUGAAUGCGUCUUCUUGCUCCAGCAUUCAAGUUCCAUUUCAAGGGAGGACGACGUACCAUGAUACUUUCUGUUUUGUCGAGCCCUGCUUUGGUCUCUGGUUUGAUGGUUGUACGUGCUAAAAAUCCGGUACAUUCCGUUUUGUUUCCCAUCCUAGUCUUUUGCGACACUUCUGGUUUACUUAUUUUGUUAGGUCUCGACUUCUCCGCUAUGAUAUCCCCAGUAGUUCAUAUAGGAGCUAUUGCCGUUUCAUUCCUAUUCGUGGUUAUGAUGUUCAAUAUUCAAAUAGCGGAGAUUCACGAAGAAGUAUUGCGCUAUUUACUAGUGAGUGGUAUUAUUGGACUGAUCUUUUGGUGGGAAAUGUUCUUCAUUUUAGAUAAUGAAACCAUUCCAUUAUUACCAACCCACAGAAAUACGACCUCUCUGAGAUAUACGGUUUAUGCCGGAAAGGUACGAAGUUGGACUAAUUUGGAAACAUUGGGCAAUUUACUUUAUACCUACUAUUCCGUCUGGUUUUUGGUUUCUAGUCUGAUUUUAUUAGUUGCUAUGAUUGGGGCUAUAGUACUUACUAUGCAUAGGACUACAAAGGUGAAAAGACAGGAUGUAUUCCGACGAAAUGCCUUGGAUUCUAGGAGCCAUAUAAUGAACAGGACUAUUUCUCCUUUUGGCCAUAGCCAUAGAAGAAGCUUCUCCUCUGGAGCGGGGGGGCGCUUGACAAUUACAAAGAAACCUUUAAAAUGUGGAUUUAGUGCUCAGAAUAUAAGGAUUUCCCUGGCUUAAAAUGCAAGAUAGACAGACUUCUUGCAUUCCUUGAGCCUGGGGAGAUCCUAUUCAUGGUAAACACGUUCCCCCGGGACUUUCCUCUGCUCGAGAUCUUAGAACCCCAGGAUAUCCGAAAUAUAAUUGCUCACUCGCACAAGCAGUGGAAGCCACCCAAAAAGGGAGGCUAGUAAUUUUUUUGGUAGGUUUGUAUUGUUUCUCGAAUUGGUAGGUUUCUCGAAGUAGUUUUAGUAGGUUUCUCAGGAAAUAGAGAUGCCGAGGCCCCUACUUACCUUAUGGGUAGGUAGGGGGAAGGAAGAGUGGGUCAGAGGGCUUCCUUCACAGUGCAUACCUCUCUUUCUCUUUUGAGUUUUUCUGGUCGCGCAAGAUCUUUGGUCUUCCCCCGGAACCGAUGAAAAAGCGGGUCGCUUCUUAUGGACUCGCUCAGAAUGAUUCUUUUAUAUCUAAGGAAAGGGGAUGACAUUAUCGCCAUUGAUUGAAUUCGUACGUCUAUCGCUAUCCCGGGCCGAGGAGAGGGGGUUUCGGAAGGAGGAAGGCUCGUUUCAUUAUCGAAUAUCGUGUAGAACUCACUUGCCCUGCCUUUUGCUAGGAGACUGUAGUUCGAGCAUUCUAUUGUGUGCUCGAUCCGUGAUACGCAAAGCAAUCUCUUGUUUACUAUUGAUCUAAUGAUAGUUGAUUGAGACUUGCCAUUGUCGUCUUUCAAAAGUGAACUCUUAUCUGGUUGCACUCGGGUUCUCCUGUCGACUUGUUUUUCAAUAGUAAAUCACAGGCAGUAUGCCCUAUUUGAAAACAUGCAAUGAGGGUACGAGCAACACUCCCCAAACUUGGCAUGACUCAUCACCAUCUUGUAUUCAUGAUCUUACCUCUAUUGGUCACAAAUGCAUAGCAUAGGAUCGAGUGGAUCGGCACCCAAUAGGCCAGAUUUUCCUAUCUUUGAUGUUAGAAGUGAUUCCAAUAUAUUUUUCUAUAGUGAUAGUUCACACAUUAGCAAUUAGCACUGCCUCAAAGCAAACAUAGGAACUAGGGAGUUCAUCGAGAGAAAGUCCCUUUAGUUUCGUACUUCCCUGUUUCGGAUUUGCAUAUGUCUUUAAUCGCAAUAGUUGUAGAGAAAUCCCUCAAUCACGGGACAAUCCUCCAGGGCAAAGGUACUUCCAAAGCUCAGAAGGUUCAUCUGUGCAUGAAAGGAAUGAAACAAAUUCCAUAGAAAAAAUAGGAAAAUCCCCACCGAGAUCGGUACCUAUCUAGAUCCCCAGCUUCGACAACAAAACUCCUUCGCAUUUUGCGACCAUUCCCGCGAGGACUACGAUUCGGAUUAUCUAAUGUCAUCCCCAAACAGAAUUACACCUCUUAAGAGGAAGGGACGGCC